AAGUCGUAACAAGGUUUCCGUAGGUGAACCUGCGGAAGGAUCAUUACCAUAUCCAAAAAACUAUACCAACCCACCGUGUGAACUGUUGUUUUUUCCUACACUUGGGGUGCCGCUGUACGGGAGGGGGUCUGCGUGGCACUGUGCAAACGGCGCUGCCUGCUCUCUUUUUUCGGCGAAGCCCCACCUGUGAGAAAAUUUUCCCCAAUCAACCCCUGGUCAAACCAAACCUUUACAACUCUGAAUUUUAUUUCUUUUUUUUUUUGGCCAGGCUGGCUGGGCGUUCUGAACGUUUCGGUCCUUCCUUGACAAUGAAAAAAACAAAUAACACAAAAACAAAACCAAUAGACAACUUAUGACGGUGGAUCUCUUGGCUCGU
rnacentral:misc_RNA from 1 species